rnacentral:rRNA from 1 species
UACGUAGGGGGCAAGCGUUGUCCGGAUUUAUUGGGCGUAAAGAGCGUGUAGGCGGCCAGGUAGGUCAGCUGUGAAAACUCGAGGCUCAACCUCGAGACGUCGGUUGAAACCACCUGGCUAGAGUCCGGAAGAGGAGAGUGGAAUUCCUGGUGUAGCGGUGAAAUGCGCAGAUAUCAGGAAGAACACCAAUGGCGAAGGCAGCUCUCUGGGCAUGUCCUGACGCUGAGGAGCGAAAGUGUGGGGAGCGAACAGG